GUUAAACUGUAGACCACGUGAAGAAACCCAUGCACACACCCAAAUGAUGGCUAAAUAUCCUCUGGCUGAUAAGCUGGAGACUUGGGAGGUGUAAAAGCAGCUACAGGAUGUGAUGAUUCCACCGGGGAGGAUGUUUUGGUGAAAAACGCACAGAACCUGAUUCAUAGUGUUCUGCAAACUUGGAAGGCUGCAGAAGCCGCUUGUCUUACGGGCACUGGAAAUCCAGCAUGUAAUAAAGAAGAGGCAGAUGUCGCGGUUUUCUGUUCUUAUUUACGAAAGAAACUGGGUGAAAGAAGUAAAGAGUUUUCAAUCUUCAAUAUGUGAACUUUAAUUUUACAUAUGUAUGCAGCUUUAGGAAACAGAUACCACUCAUUGUUUUACAUACAACAAUCCAUGCUACCUGUCUAUGUAGUAAUCUUUUCUUUUAUAGUGUUAAUGUUUUUCAUAACAUUUGCCUAGCAUUAACGACUACUUGGCACUUUCCUUACAUGUCUCCUUCAA